rnacentral:rRNA from 1 species
UACGUAGGGGGCUAGCGUUGCUCGGAAUCACUGGGCGUAAAGCGCACGUAGGCGGAUUGUUAAGUCAGGGGUGAAAUCCUGGAGCUCAACUCCAGAACUGCCUUUGAUACUGGCGAUCUUGAGUCCGGGAGAGGUGAGUGGAACUGCGAGUGUAGGGGUGAAAUUCGUAGAUAUUCGCAAGAACACCAGUGGCGAAGGCGGCUCACUGGCCCGGUACUGACGCUGAGGUGCGAAAGCGUGGGGAGCAAACAGG